AGUGAACGCUGGCGGUAGGCCUAACACAUGCAAGUCGAACGGCAGCACAGGAGAGCUUGCUCUCUGGGUGGCGAGUGGCGGACGGGUGAGGAAUACAUCGGAAUCUACUCUGUCGUGGGGGAUAACGUAGGGAAACUUACGCUAAUACCGCAUACGACCUACGGGUGAAAGCAGGGGACCUUCGGGCCUUGCGCGAUUGAAUGAGCCGAUGUCGGAUUAGCUAGUUGGCGGGGUAAAGGCCCGCCAAGGCGACGAUCCGUAGCUGGACUGAGAGGAGGAUCAGCCACACUGGAACUGAGCGACGGUCCAGACUCCUACGGGAGGCAGCAGUAGGGAAUAUUGGACACUGGGCGCAAGCCUGAUCCAGCCAUACCGCGUGGGUGAAGAAGGCCUUCGGGUUGUAAAGCCCUUUUGUUGGGAAAGAAAUCCAGCUGGCUAAUACCCGGUUGGGAUGACGGUACCCAAAGAAUAAGCACCGGCUAACUUCGUGCCAGCCGCCGCCGUAA
rnacentral:rRNA from 1 species